CCCAGACUCCUACGGGAGGCAGCAGUGAGGAAUAUUGGUCAAUGGGCGGAAGCCUGAACCAGCCAAGUCGCGUGAGGGAAGAAGGCCCUGCGGGUCGCAGACCUCUUUGGACGGGGAGCAAGGCCGCCGACGUGUCGGCGGAAGGAGAGUACCCGUAGAACAAGCAUCGGCUAACUCCGUGCCAGCAGCCGCGGUAAUACGGAGGUGGCGAGCGUUGUCCGGAAUUACUGGGUGUAAAGGGAGCGUAGGCGGGAGUGCAAGUUGAAUGUAUAAACUAUCGGCUCAACUGAUAGAAGCGUUCAAAACUGCACUUCUUGAGUGAAGUAGAGGCAGGCGGAAUUCCUAGUGUAGCGGUGAAAUGCGUAGAUAUUAGGAGGAACACCAGUGGCGAAGGCGGCCUGCUGGGCUUUAACUGACGCUGAGGCUCGAAAGCGUGGGUAGCAAACAGGAUUAGAUACCCCAGUA
rnacentral:rRNA from 1 species